rnacentral:rRNA from 1 species
UACGUAGGAGGCGAGCGUUGUCCGGAGUUACUGGGCGUAAAGGGUGCGCAGGCGGCGGUGCGCGUGGCGAGAUGAAAUCUCCUGGCUUACCUGGGAGGGUGGUCGCCAGACGGCAUCGCUUGAGGGUCGGAGAGGGGCGUGGAAUUCCGGGUGGAGCGGUGAAAUGCGGUAGAGAUCCGGAGGAACACCGACGGGCGUAA